GACGAACGCUGGCGGCGUGCUUAACACAUGCAAGUCGAGCGGUAAGGCCCUUUCGGGGGUACGACGAGCGGCGAACGGGUGAGUAACACGUGGGUGACCUGCCCUCAGCUCUGGGAGUAAGCCUGGGAAACCGGGGUCUAAUACCGGAUAUGACUCCAUGACGCAUGUUGUGGGGUGGAAAGCCUUGUGCGGCUGAGGAUGGGCCCGCGGCCUAUCAGCUUGUUGGUGGGGUGAUGGCCUACCAA
rnacentral:rRNA from 1 species